UUUAGGCUUAGGCUUAGGCUUAGGCUGGGACCUAGGCUCAGGCUUAGGCCUAGGCUUAGGCUCGGGCUUAGGCUUAGGCUCGGGCUUAGGCUUAGGCU
ensembl:ncRNA Y48C3A.22 ncRNA